UUAUAAAAAGAGGUUAAGUUAAGAGAGGAAUGAAUUUUCUCUCGAUCCCUCUCCUCCACCCUCGCUUACGCGGCGCCUCUGUUCGUGUGGAAACGAAGCCGAGACGAAGAGGGCUAGGGCUGCACUCCGACGGCCGACGACAGGCUCUUUCCGACGGGCUUCCAUAAAUCCGCGACCACCUUGUCAAGGAGGACGCACGGACACGAGGAGAACGCCGAGAUCGUGAGCUCCUCCGAACCCUAGAAGCAAUCUUUCCGGCUGUGAGUUCAAGAACAGCAAGAUAAAGGAAGGCGACAAGGUGGUGCAGAUGGAGUGUGAUGCCAGGACUAUGGAAGGGACUUGAGACGUUAUUAUGAUUUCUGCAUUUUAGUAAUUAAUAAACAUUUGAAGUUGUAUUUUAUGUUCAUGUCAUUGAGAUUAUUUUUGUUUAGAUUGCAUGGAGAUGAGUUCUGUUUAAUAAGUAGAUAUUUUGAUGUUGUCAUUUA